rnacentral:lncRNA from 1 species
UUUUACUAAAUUAAAACCAUUUGUGUGUCACGUUUGAUUAUGUCCCUAUUUGAUGGCAUCAUAAAGAGAAAUUGAGAGAAAAAUGAUGUUUUGAUAUUUUUUUUUGGAGAAUGUGGUUAAAAAGUGGAAAAAAGUUUUGGAAUUAUGUGUAAACUAUUUUAUUGUAAGAAUAUGUGGUUAAAAAUAAGUAUGAGAAAUAAAAAAUUUUGAAACAAAGAGAGUCAAAUAGAAACUAUAUCAAUAAUAAGAAAAAGGACAACUCGAGAGGGGGCGGGCCUGACCUCCCAAACAAUAAGCUUACAAAGAAUAAAUUAAAUUUUGCGUGUUCCGAGUCUGCUUCAUGUCGUCAUGCGCCUAAUUGAAUAGAAUCUUCCUUGGUGUACAUAAUCUUUUGUACAUCAAGGUGUCCCAUACUCACAUGAGUUGGGGCCUACUAAAAUAUUUUAUUCUAAUGGACUCCACCUCAUAUGAGUGUAUGGAUGCCUUAAUGUUAAAAAAUUUAUGUAUUGGGAGCUUUAUCCAAUUGAAUAUUUGGUAUCCUUAUGGUCACUGUCUGAACUAGUCUCUAAUGAUUCCAACGUCUGAACGAAUCAUUGCUCUUUGCUUUUGAUGCUGAUUUUGCGUGAGAAUGAUAUUAAUGUGUUAAGCCACAAGUGUCAGGUGACACGUGCAUAAUAGGAUAAGAACCAAAUAUGUAGAUGCAAAGAUACUUAGCUUGGCCUCAUGACACUUGUGGCGCAACCUUUUCGCAAGGUCGAGAAAGGGACACCACAACAAGCACCAAGUAGUCUACUCCAUUAGGCCAUGUCUUCUAAAUCUCAAUCUUUUUGUCAUUGUAUAUGUUGAUUUCGAAAGUCGAAUUGGUUCUAAAAUUAGCAAAAAAAAAAAAAAAAAAAAAGUAGUUAGGGUUUAGACUUAGAAUAGAAUAGACUAGAAGGGGGAUUGAAUAAGU